rnacentral:lncRNA from 1 species
GCAGGUCAGGCGUGCGUGUGUGCUGACACAGUCAUUUUACGGUUUCGCAGUCACUCUGGGGUCGUACUUCGGUCUCACAGUCACACUGGGGUCGUACUUCGGUCUCGCAGUGACUCUGGGGUUGUACUGCAGUCUCGCAGUCACUCUGGGGUUGUACUGCGAUCUCGCAGUCACUCUGGGGUUGCACUGCGCUCUCGCAAUCACUCUGGGAUUGUACUGCGGUCUCGCAGUCACUCUGGGGUUCUACUACAGUCUCCCAGUCACUCUGGGGUUGUACUGCGGUCUCGCAGUCACUCUGGGGUUGCACCGCGGUCUCGCAGUCACUCAGGGGUUACACUACGGUCUUGCAGUCAUUCUGGGGUUGUACUACAGUCUCCCAGUCACUCUGGGGUUGUACUGCGGUCUCGCAGUCACUCUGGGGUUGCACUGCGGUCUCGCAGUCACUCAGGGGUUACACUACGGUCUUGCAGUCAUUCUGGGGUUGUACUACAGUCUCCCAGUCACUCUGGGGUUGUACUGCGGUCUCGCAGUCACUCUGGGGUUGCACCGCGGUCUCGCAGUCACUCUGGGGUUGUACUGCGGUCUCGCAGUCACUCUGGGGUUGCACUGCAGUCUCACAGCCACUCUGUGUUCGCAGUGCGGUCUCACAGUCACUCUGGGGUCGUACUGCAGUCUCACAGCCACUCUGUGAUCGUAGUGCGUUCUCAGAGUCACACUGGGGUCGUACUGCAGUCUCACAGUAACUCUGGGGUCGUAGUGUGGUCUCACAGUAACUCUGUGGUCGUAGUGAGGUCUCACAGUCACUCUGUGUUCGCAGUGCGGUCUCACAGCCACUAUGUGGUCGUAGUGUGGUCUCACAGUCACUCUGGGGUCGUAGUGCAGUCUCACAGCCACUCUGGGGUACUACUGCAGUCUCACAGUCACUCUGUGUUCGCAGUGCAGUCUCACAGCCACUCUGGGGUUGUAGUGCAGUCUCACAGCCACUCUGUGUUCGCAGUACGGUCUCACAGUCACUCUGGGGUCGUAGUGCGGUCUCACAGCCACUCUGGGGUCGUAGUGCAGUCUCACAGCCACUCUGUGUUCGCAGUGCGGUCUCACAGUCACUCUGGGGUCGUAGUGCGGUCUCACAGUCACUCUGGGGUCGUAGUGCAGUCUCACAGUCUAGCCACAGUCCAGUUCCAUUCAGACAGUCUCUUUGUGGUCCUGUUAGCUCCAGCCGGUCUGUCUUCUUAA